rnacentral:rRNA from 1 species
UGACGCUGGCGGCAUGCCUAACACAUGCAAGUCGAACGGCAGCACAGCAGUAGCAAUACUGUGGGUGGCGAGUGGCGGACGGGUGAGUAAUGCAUCGGGAUCUACCCAAACGUGGGGGAUAACGUAGGGAAACUUACGCUAAUACCGCAUACGUCCUAAGGGAGAAAGCGGGGGACCGAAAGGCCUCGCGCGGUUGGACGAACCGAUGUGCGAUUAGCUAGUUGGUAGGGUAAUGGCCUACCAAGGCGACGAUCGCUAGCUGGUCUGAGAGGAUGAUCAGCCACACUGGAACUGAGACACGGUCCAGACUCCUACGGGAGGCAGCAGUGGGGAAUAUUGGACAAUGGGCGCAAGCCUGAUCCAGCAAUGCCGCGUGUGUGAAGAAGGCCUUCGGGUUGUAAAGCACUUUUAUCAGGAGCGAAAUACUACUGGCUAAUAACCGGUGGGGCUGACGGUACCUGAGGAAUAAGCACCGGCUAACUUCGUGCCAGCAGCCGCGGUAAUACGAAGGGUGCAAGCGUUAAUCGGAAUUACUGGGCGUAAAGCGUGCGUAGGCGGUGAGUUAAGUCUGUUGUGAAAU